GACGAACGCUGGCGGCGUGCUUAACACAUGCAAGUCGAACGAUGAACCCGGAGCUUGCUCCGGCGGAUUAGUGGCGAACGGGUGAGUAACACGUGAGUAACCUGCCCUUGACUCUGGGAUAACUGCGGGAAACUGUAGCUAAUACCGGAUACGACCCUCGGCGGCAUCGCCAGGGGGUGGAAGGAAUUUCGGUCAAGGAUGGACUCGCGGCCUAGCAGCUAGUUGGUGAGGUAACGGCUCACCAAGGCGACGACGGGUAGCCGGCCUGAGAGGGUGACCGGCCACACUGGGACUGAGACACGGCCCAGACUCCUACGGGAGGCAGCAGUGGGGAAUAUUGCACAAUGGGCGCAAGCCUGAUGCAGCAACGCCGCGUGAGGGAUGACGGCCUUCGGGUUGUAAACCUCUUUUAGUAGGGAAGAAGCGAAAGUGACGGUACCUGCAGAAAAAGCACCGGCUAACUACGUGCCAGCCGCCGCGGUAAUAC
rnacentral:rRNA from 1 species